UUGCUCCCAUGUUUUUGGUCUAUUGUGUUUUGUACUAUGUGUUUAUUUUAUUGUUUUAUAAGUACUAGUCUCUCAGUUGUUUGAUGGCAGACUGAGACUGGUGUGUUGCAGACGUCCAUCUGUAUUAAUGCUGCUGCAUUAUUGUGUUUAUUUCAUGCAGAGGAAUAAAUACGCCACAGUUUCGAUUAAAGACAACAAUUGAAUCUCCUUGUCCAUCAAACACGCACAACACAACGCAGAGUCGUAGCAAGGGUCUGCUGAGAAGUAGGCCCAGACCGGCUACACGUGCACCACACUUUGGGAAUCCCUGAAAGAGGCCAUCCUAGUCGGCACACCACAUCAGCUCCGCUCUUCCACAAUCACCAGUACCACUCUCUCUGGCCAAAACAUCUCCCUUUCCACAUCUGUCACCAACCUGGGUGUUAAAAUGGACCCUCAACUCACCUUUGACACCCACAUCAAACACCUCUGUAAGACAUCAUUCUACCACCUCAGGAACAUCGCCAAACUCCGUCCAACACUCACCCUGGCAGAUGCAGAGAAGCUCGUCCACGCCUUUGUCUCCUCCAGGCUGGACUCCUGUAAUGCACUCCACAUUGAGAUCUCUGGCUAGAGCAUCCAGAGACUAGGCUACAUCCAGUGCUGCCAGGAUCCUGAUGAGGGUGUGCAAACAUGAUCACAUCCCCCCAUCCUGAAAUCUCUUCUCUGGCUCCCUGUCCCACUCAGAAUUGAGUUCAAGGUCUCCCUCCUCACCCACCAGUGCAUCCACGGACAUGCCCUCCAUUACCUGCAGGGACUCCUCACCCCGCCGCCCUCCUCACGUACCCUCCGUUGUACAACCACAAACACCCUCCAAGCCCCCAGAACCAAGCUCCACACCAUGGGGGAUGGGGCCUUUUCCUGUGCUGCCCCGAUGCUGUGGAACGCCCUCCCUGACCACCUGAGGGCCCCACAGACUACCUAAAAACCUAAAAACACAUCUUUUUAAUAAAAGCAUUUUGCUAAAUGUCUUUUAUAGGUUCUGCCUUUAACAAGUUUUUUUCCUGCUCUGUAGCACUUUGAGAUUGCUGAAAGGAAAAGUGAAAUACAAAUAAAAUGUAUUAAUAUUA